rfam:Schistosoma curassoni strain Dakar, Senegal genome assembly, scaffold: SCTD_scaffold0001276
AUCUAGCUGACGAGUCGCAAAUAAGAUGGAACGCGUGUCGAACUAGAU